rnacentral:lncRNA from 1 species
GUUAUUUCACUACAAAGAAGUUUAUUUAUAUAGCUCUUUGUUUACUACGUGCAGUUUAUAUUUAACAUGGAAGUUUAAGAGUAAUGAAAAGAAUACAAAUGGUAUAGCACCAUAUACAUGUGUAUAUUAAGUAUGGCACACAUGAAUGAAUUGGGACCUAAUCAACGUAUUGUGUUCAAAGAAGACUUAAUGAAUCCAGCAGUUCAAAAACAUGUUUUGCAGCGAGACGAAUGGCGGCAAAUGAUGGCUUUGUGGCGGUUAGUGAAAAACUGUGGCAUUUUACACUGAUGGUGGCUAACAUUUACAGAAAAUUUCUCAACCAAUAGUGACAUUCAGUUGAAAGUAAUAGCAUAUCUUACACUGACUAUACAUCAGAAGAUUGUUGAAAAAAAAACAUGGCAAAAAAGUAGAAAAUAUUGAUAUACUUCAAUGACUUUUGAACUGAGUAGAAAAUGGUGACAUUUUAGCACCAUAUUGUGUGUAUACUUUUUCUGGCAUCCGCGCAGUCCGGUUAGGAUCCAUGCUGUUCGCUAAUGGUUUCUCUGGUUGCAAUAGCAUUUGAAAGCGAACAGCAUGGAUCCUGACCAGAUCGCGCAGAUGCGCA